ensembl:lncRNA
UAUAGAAAAUAUACAUAUUUAAUGUCAAAUCAUGAGUAAGUACAGUAUUAUUAUAUUGACCGAAAAGGCUUAGCGAAACACAACCAGAGUAGAUGUACAGACACUAUAUAGAAUUCAUAUUUACAUUGGGUUUACAAAGACAUACAGACACUAUAUAGAAUUCAUAUUUACAUUGGGUUUACAAAGACACACAGACACUAUAUAGAAUUCAUAUUUACAUUGGGUUUACAAAGACAUACAGACACUAUAUAGAAUUCAUAUUUACAUUAGGUUUACAAAGACAUACAGACACUAUAUAGAAUUCAUAUUUACAUUGGGUUUACAAAGACACACAGACUGUGUAUUUAAUACACGCUCGCGCCAACUAUACAGUAAAGUAUUCACAUAACGUGUAUCUUUCUACAAGAGACCAUAGGAGGAGUAGAAAAUUAACGUUCUGUUUUUAAGGAAAAUCUACAUUGCGUCGCAGUCAAUGACAGUAUAUAUCAGAACUGGGUGACAUAUAUAUAUGCCAAAGACUUUGGAGGUGCGCUUGACUUAGCUUGACUUAGCUUGACUUAACUUGACUUAGCUUGAGUUAGCUUGACUUAACUUGACUUAGCUUGACUUAGCUUGAGUUAGCUUGACUUAGCCUGACUUAGCUUGAGUUAGCUUGAGUUAGCUUGACUUAGUUUGACUUAGCUUGACUUAGUUUGACUUAGCUUGACUUAGCUUGACUUAGCUUGACUUAGUUUGACUUAAUUUGACUUAGUUUGACUUAACUUGAGUUAGCUUGACUUAGUUUGACUUAGCUUGACUUAGCUUGAGUUAGCUUGACUUAGCUUGACUUAGCUUGACUUAGUUUGACUUAGUUUGACUUAACUUGACUUAGCUUGACUUAGCUUGACUUAGCUUGACUUAGCUUGACUUAGCUUGACUUAGCUUGACUUAGCUUGACUUAGCUUGACUUAACUUGACUUAGCUUGCCCUGUACAAUGCAACCAAUGGAAUAGUCUCAUAAACUGCCAACUCCACCCACAGCCUGCACACUGUUUUGACACAUGUAUUUGACCCAGGUCUGACGUGUAAGUGGGGCGGGGCUAGAGGUCCAAGAGCUGAGACUUACAGGCUGGCUGUGGAAAGCGGCAGUACAUUAUGAAGAACAACCUUUUGACCUGGCUGUCGACAUGACUGUUGUGUGGGCCAAGACCGGGUUGACUGGAGAGCCUGGGAGAGGGCAAGAGUCUGCAAACAUCUACAAGGUCAAAGGUCAGA